rnacentral:rRNA from 1 species
UACGAAGGGGGCUAGCGUUGCUCGGAAUCACUGGGCGUAAAGCGCACGUAGGCGGACUCUUAAGUCAGGGGUGAAAUCCUGGAGCUCAACUCCAGAACUGCCUUUGAUACUGAGGAGCUCGAGUCCGGGAGAGGUGAGUGGAACUCCGAGUGUAGAGGUGAAAUUCGUAGAUAUUCGGAAGAACACCAGUGGCGAAGGCGGCUCACUGGCCCGGUACUGUCGCUGAGGUGCGAAAGCGUGGGGAGCAAACAGG